AAAAGAAACCAACAGGGAUUGCCCCAGUAACGGCGAGUGAAGCGGCAAGAGCUCAAAUUUGAAAUCUGGCCCCGUCGGGGUCCGAGUUGUAAUUUGCAGAGGAUGCUUCGGGUGCGGCCCCCGUCUAAGUGCCCUGGAACGGGCCGUCAUAGAGGGUGAGAAUCCCGUCUGGGAUGGGUGGCCGCGUCCGUGUGAAGCUCCUUCGACGAGUCGAGUUGUUUGGGAAUGCAGCUCUAAAUGGGUGGUAAAUUUCAUCUAAAGCUAAAUAUUGGCCGGAGACCGAUAGCGCACAAGUAGAGUGAUCGAAAGAUGAAAAGCACUUUGAAAAGAGAGUUAAAUAGCACGUGAAAUUGUUGAAAGGGAAGCGCUUGCGACCAGACUCGCCCGCGGGGGUUCAGCCGGCACUCGUGCCGGUGCACUCCCCCGCGGGCGGGCCAGCGUCGGUUUGGGCGGCCGGUCAAAGGCCCCCGGAAUGUGUCGCCCUUCGGGGCGUCUUAUAGCCGGGGGUGCAAUGCGGCCAGCCCGGACCGAGGACCGCGCUUCGGCAUGGACGCUGGCGUAAUGGUCGUAAGCGGCCCGUCUUGAAACACGGACCAAGGAGUCUAACAUCUACGCGAGUGUUCGGGUGUUAAACCCGUCCGCGCAGUGAAAGCGAACGGAGGUGGGAACCCCUCGCGGGUGCACCAUCGACCGAUCCUGAUGUCUUCGGAUGGAUUUGAGUAAGAGCGUAGCUGUUGGGACCCGAAAGAUGGUGAACUAUGCCUGAAUAGGGCGAAGCCAGAGGAAACUCUGGUGGAGGCUCGCAGCGGUUCUGACGUGCAAAUCGAUCGUCAAAUUUGGGUAUAGGGGCGAAAGACUAAUCGAACCAU
rnacentral:rRNA from 1 species